GACAAGCAAAAGUUCAAGUUUGGGGGUGUGUUAAGUGUAUAUUUUUACACUUUAUCAUAUCUUUUUAUUUGAGCUUUUGGUGUGUUUUAACGAUAAUUGGUGCUUAAAAAGUUGAUUUAUUAUAUUUUAGGUACAAAUUGAAGAAUUGGAAAAGUAUGGGGUCAAAACUGCAAUUUUGGCGAAAAUAUGGGUCAAAAGUGAAAAUAUCAAAAUUCUGAAGA
rnacentral:lncRNA from 1 species